GCACGGCCCCGGGACGGCCCCGGGACGGGCUCCGGCCGCCCCAAACGCCGGGCUGCCCGGGCUGCGAGCAGCCCCGAGCUGUCCUGGGCUGCGGAGGGAGGGAGGGAGGGAGGGAAGGAGGGACGGGACGGAGAAAGGGAGGGAGGGGGGGGGGGGGGUUGCUGCUGCUUUGGUCUGCAUCUGGUUUUUGGUUUGGGGAUUUGUUUUGUUGUUGUUUUUCCUCUUCUUCCCCCGUCGGCCGCCGGUUUAGUAUGGAAGUCGGAGAAGAUGGAAAAAAGGGAGCAGGAGUGGAAAAAAAGUUGCACGGCUCGAGACCGUAGUGCACAAAUCGCUGCUCGUCUCGGUCGAAAAAUCCUCGCACCCCCUUCCCCCAUCCUCAAAGGUUUCUCUCUGAAAUUACUCCAAAUCCACCUCGCCUAAUGCAAGAUAAAGCUCCCCCCGCUCCCCGAAGCCCUGCACGCACCAUUACUCGGGACACGAGAAAAGCAAAAGUUUCAUUGAAUAGCGCGAAAUCUUCCUUACCGUUCUCAUCUUCAAUUUCUGAUAUAAAAUAAAAUUGUUCAUAAAAUCUCAACAAUCUGUGAGAAUUACAGAGGACAAAGUUGAGACAAAUUGUACAAUGUGUGGACAAUGUCUAUGGAAAAUCUCUAUGGAAAAAUCAGAUGUCUGAGGGCAAAGGAGGAGGGAAAAGCAACUUGUUCCUGUGUUUGUACUUACAUGGUGAGCCAAGAUCAAAAGCAGCCUCAUCCUCCAUCUGGUCAUCUCUGGAAACUCUGAGUUGAAUUCAAGCUGAUUAUAGCAGCAACCUUCUGCACUUCUGAAAGAGUAAUUUCCCCAACGCUUAUUUUCCCCCCUCUUUUUUUUUUUUUUUUUUUUAAAGAAAAAACAAAAACCAACAAAUGAGCAAAAACCAAACAAGCAAAAUACAUAAAUAAAUAAAAA